GAUGAACGCUAGCGGCAGGCUUAACACAUGCAAGUCGAGCGGUAACAGAGAGAAGCUUGCUUCUCUGCUGACGAGCGGCGGACGGGUGAGUAAUGCCUAGGAAUCUGCCUAGUAGUGGGGGAUAACUUGCCGAAAGGUAAGCUAAUACCGCAUACGUCCUACGGGAGAAAGGAGGGGACCUUCGGGCCUUUCGCUAUUAGAUGAGCCUAGGUCGGAUUAGUUAGUUGGUGAGGUAAUGGCUCACCAAGACCGCGAUCCGUAACUGGUCUGAGAGGAUGAUCAGUCACACUGGAACUGAGACACGGUCCAGACUUCUACGGGAGGCAGCAGUGGGGAAUAUUGGACAAUGGGGGGAACCCUGAUCCAGCCAUGCCGCGUGUGUGAAGAAGGUCUUAGGAUUGUAAAGCACUUUAAGUUGGGAGGAAGAGCAGUUAACUAAUAUUUGACUGUUUUGACGUUACCGACAGAAUAAGCACCGGCUAACUUCGUGCCAGCAGCCGCCGUAA
rnacentral:rRNA from 1 species